AGGGUAUGACCGAGGGUCAAGUAAAGCUGGGAUGUGACAAAUGGUCCUUCAGACCCAGCUGGGAGAGAGGAUCUCUAAGGAAACCUGACUGCGCUCUUUACUUUUUUAUUUCCUUCUUAGAGAUCAGUCACUGACUGCGGAGAGGCUUGGUGUGACCAUGUGAGGCUGACCCAAUAUUGUCAUGUGCAUUACACUUAAGCACGGAACAUCACUUCAGCAUGUGAUUCCCCAUGCAACGGAGCACCACGUGCUCACAUGUUUGUGCAGAAGAGACCCCUGUCAUCUCCUCCUGCCUUCAGUGCUGCCCUGUCAUGCAGCAGGAUGGGAAGAGGGAGGAAAUAGCUGUUGAGGAAUGAGUAAGACGUCAUAAAACUGGGAAGAACUGAUGAAAAGGCUCCCGGGCAAUGUGGAGUCAUAGAAACUACUUUUACCUACGUUAGGUGCAAGUAGAUUAAAAGCCCAAUUAGACGAAUGCGUGAGGAAAUGAACAGCCCCAGUGAGGGCUGUUAGGUACGAAAAUAGAGCCUGUUCUUUAGGAAGUCCCAGUGCUGUGGAAGCUGGGAGGAAAUACUGCUGCACACUGUGGGGAAAAAAAUCACUCUGUGUUUACUUCAUUCUUAGAUUCUUUCCCCAACCAUCCGUGCAGGUUUGAGCCAGGAUAUGGGAUGAGGUGGACUUUUGGCAUCCUCCAAGCCUGCUGUCCCAGUGUAGUUAAAGCUUUUGCAUUUGCUCUUGCAGGAUGUUUUUCAAGCCAACAGCAGGGCCCCAAGACCCAACAGGACCUCCUGAAGAUUAAGCUUCUGACACUGCUGGCAGAGAGUGGGAAGAUGUAAUACGAUUAGGGCUGUUCAUUACCCAUUUAGUGCAGUUCUCUGUGGUAUAAACCAAGGAGCAAACAGUUGUGUAAUGCAAUGAAUUUUACCAUCUGAGGCAGUGUUCUUCAAUGUUACUGAUUUAUUUCCUGACUCUGUUUUAGCAGGAAGAAUAAAUCAGUGAUGUAUAUGAAAAUAAUAGGUGUAAAGCUUGGCGAGUAUGCUUUUUAAAUCAACAAGGGGACUAUUUGUAGGAAGGAAUUGUGAGGGGCAGCUCUGCUGAUCUGCAGGGAUGACUCCCGCCCUCAGAGUCUUGCUGGCUCCUCAGCUUGGAGCAGGGGGGUCCAGAGCAGGCAUCGGUCAGAUGCCAGCAGUGGGAGCAAGAGCACAACCAGGCAUUUGUGGCUCCUCAGCAUGUUUAGGUCUGGUUUCAGGCUUACUAUCUAUCUGGGGGCAAAAGAAGGGUCAUAUCAGAGGACAAGCGUCAUCAGUUGGUUAAUGCAAUCCCUGCCUUGCCGUAGCUUAGAGCCACAGAAUCAUAGAAUCGUUAAGGUUGGAAAAGACCACUAAGAUCAUCUAGUGCAACCGUCAGCCCAUCCCCACCGUGCCCACUAACCACGUCCCUCAGUGCCACAUGUUUCUUCAACACCUCCAGGGAUGGUGACUUCACCACCUCCCUGGGCAGCCUGCAGUCCUUUGGCAGAGGAAGAGGAUUUCUCCGAAGGCAGCACUGGAACAAUCGCUCCCCACUCAUCUUCUCCUUCCACGGCUGCCUCUCCCCCUGCAUUCCCCUCUCUAUAGGCAAUUUUCUCAUUUAUUUUUAAUUCAAAACAGUGCUUUGCCCGGAGCCUGGUGCUCAGCAUUUUUAUGCUCCCUGCAUCACAUUCUUGCAUCUUUUGAGCUUUGUCAUAGCCUUUCCACAUUUUAAUUAUAAGCUCAGCAGGCUUCAGGCUUUGCUGUUCCUCUGAGCUGAGAAAAAACUGCUCCUUUUUCUUUCCUCUCAUUUUUGUAAUCUUCAGCAAUCAAAGUGGAUGAAUUUUGGGAAAAAACGGGCAGCAUAUUGCAGAGACUGAAGACUGGAUCACGAUAGCAAGGGGGUAAAGUCUCUGCCUGGAGCGGCAGUAAGGCAACACUGCGUGCCUGCACGCAGCCGCUGUUGACAUCUUGGGGUGAGGGCUCUGCAUCUGCUUGGCUACAGGCAGGGCCCUGGCCAUCUUCAAAGGGCUUUGAAGUGCCCCCUGGCAAUCUCCUCUGGAAGAUAAGAGAUUACAGAGAGAGAGGAAGGAGUUCCUGAAAACAGCUCCAGCAGCACGUAUGUUUAUCUAGUCUGGGUAAUGCAGAAGGAGACCAAAGCCUGGGCUGGUGACAUCCGAGAAGACAUCCAGGGAUUCAAGCAGAAAAUGCUAAGCAUCUCUCAGGUACUGGAAGGCUGCUAUAAGUGCUAUAAGAUCCCCUCGGAACCUUCUCUUCUCCAGACUGAAGAGCUUCAACUUUUCCAGCCUAUCCUCACAGGGGAGGUGCUCC
rnacentral:lncRNA from 1 species